AGAAGGGGAUGGGGAAAGGAAACAAACAUUUAUUAAGCGCCUACUACACGCCAGGCUCUGUGUCAAGCGCUUUACGAAUAUUUCAUUUGAUUUAAUUUAAAUGAAUAAAGACAUGGGGACAUUUCAUCGCGGGUCCUUCGAUGAGGCAGGCGCUGUCACCCCGGGGUCCGGGUGUCCAUUGGGAGACCAGCACUGGGCCCUUCUCUUCCCAUCACCUCUCGCUUCUCCCCCAGCUAUCAAACGCCUGUCAAAGCUACCUCUUAACUGCGCAUGUCCGUUCUGUAUUGGCCCCGCCCGCUUUGUUUGUCCUGCUUUCGAAUUGGCUCUUCUUCGAUUUCCGGCAACCCCAGGAGGUUUCCGCUGUCAUGGCGGCCUGAGGUUUCUACCGUCGCGCUGGUCGCUACGGCCGUCCGUCAGGCGGCGGAGUUGCUAGCCCGGCGGACGGGGAUGUGACCGCGGGCCCCGCCGGCCUGUCCUGGGCUCCGCGCCAGCUCUCCUGCCCGUCUCCCGCCUUCCUGUCUGCCCGCCAUGGCGGGGUCUGGCUGCGUGUGGGGCGCGGAGCCGCCCCGUUUCCUGGAGGCCUUCGGACGGCUCUGGCAGGUGCAGAGCCGGCUGGGCAGCGGCUCCUCUGCCUCCGUGUACCGGGUGCGUUGCUGCGGGACUCCCGGAUCGCCGCCCGGGGCCCUCAAGCAAUUCCUGCCGCCCGGCACCACCGGGGCUGCUGCCUCGGCCGCGGAAUACGGCUUCCGCAAGGAGAGGGCGGCGCUGGAGCAGUUACAGGGCCACCGAAACAUCGUGACUCUGUAUGGAGUAUUUACGAUCCAGUUUUCUCCAAAUAUGCCAUCACGCUGUCUACUUCUUGAACUACUGGAUGUCAGUGUUUCGGAACUGCUUUUAUAUUCUAGUCACCAAGGGUGUUCCAUGUGGAUGAUCCAGCACUGUGCCAGAGAUGUUUUGGAGGCCCUGGCUUUUCUUCAUCAUGAGGGUUAUGUCCAUGCAGACCUAAAGCCACGUAAUAUACUAUGGAGUGCAGAAAAUGAGUGCUUUAAACUCAUUGACUUUGGUCUUAGCUUCAAAGAAGGCAAUCAGGAUGUAAAGUAUAUCCAGACAGACGGGUAUCGGGCUCCAGAAGCAGAAUUGCAGAAUUGUUUGGCCCAGGCUGGGUUACAGAGUGAAACGGAAUGUACCUCAGCUGUUGAUUUGUGGAGCCUCGGAAUCAUCUUACUGGAAAUGUUCUCAGGAAUGAAACUGAAACAUACGGUCAGAUCUCAGGAAUGGAAGGCAAACAGUUCAGCUAUCAUUGAUCAUAUAUUUGCCAGUAAAGCUGUGGUGACCUCUGCAAUCCCAGCCUAUCACCUCAGAGACCUUAUCAAAAGCAUGCUUCAUGAUGAUCCGGGCAGAAGAAUUCCAGCUGACAUGGCGCUGUGCAGUCCUUUCUUUAGCAUUCCUUUUGCCCCUCAUAUUGAAGAUUUGGUAAUGCUUCCUACUCCCGUGCUAAGAUUGUUGAAUGUGUUGGAUGAUGACUAUCUUGAGAAUGAGGAAGAAUAUGAAGAUGUGGUAGAAGAUGUGAGAGAGGAGUGUCAGAAGUAUGGGCCAGUGGUGUCUCUGCUUGUUCCAAAGGAGAAUCCUGGCAGAGGUCAGGUUUAGAAUAUACUACAUUGGAUAUUUAAGAGACACUCUGAAUACAUUAUCUUAUAACCACCCUGUGAGGAAUGACCAGCAGGAUGAAUACAGAGAGGCUUGGAGAGACCUACAUGGACUGAUGCUAAGUGAGAUGAGCAGAACCAGGAGAUCAUUAUACACUUCAACAACGAUAUUGUAUGAGGAUGUAUUCUGAUGGAAGUGGAUUUCUAUGACAAAGAGACCUAACUGAGUUUCAAUGGAUAAAUGAUGGACAGAAACAGCUACACCCAAAGAAGGAACACUGGGAAAUGAAUGUGAACUAUUUGCAUUUUUGAUUUUCUUCCCGAGUUAUUUUUACCUUCUGAAUCCAAUUCUCCCUGUGCAACAGGAGAACUGUUCGGUUCUGCAAAUAUGUAUUGUAUCUAGGAUAUACUGCAACAUAUUUAACA